rnacentral:rRNA from 1 species
UACGGCUCAGUAACACGUAGCUAACUGCCCUUAGGUCAGGGAUAUCCUCGGGAAACUGAGGUUAAUACUGAUAGAAGAUAUUUUUGUAAUUAAUUAUCUUUCAAACUCGAGCCUAAGGAUGGGGCUGCGGCUGAUUAGGUAGUUGUUGGGGUAAAGGCCCAACAAGCCGAUGAUCAGUAAGGGCUCUUAGCGGAGAGGCCCUGAGAAGGAAUCUGAGACACUAUUCCUAGCCCUACGGGGUGCAGCAGUCGGGGAACUUUUGCAAUGCGCGAAAGCGUGACAAAGCAAGCCAGAGUGUUUCUCUUAAUAGAGAAACUUUUGCCAGCUGCAAAAAGGCUGGCGAAUAAGGACUGGGCAAGACCGGUGCCAGCCGCCGCGGUAAUCCCGGCAGUCCAAGUCGCAGCCACAUUUAUUGGGUCUAAAACAUCCGUAGCUUGCAUUGUAAGUCUCUUGUGAAAUCUUAUAUCUUAAGUAUAAGGCGUGCAAGAGAUACUGCAUUGCUAGAGACCGGAAGACGUAGCGAGUACGGCCAAGGUAGUGGUAAAAUACGUUAAUCUUGGUUGGACUAACAAUGGCGAAGGCACGCUACGAGGACGGAUCUGACAGUGAGGGAUGGAGGCCAGGGGCGCAAAAUGGAUUAGAUACCCAUGUAGUCCUGGCAGUAAACACUGCACACUAAACAUUAGUACCUCCUCGAGAGGUAUUGGUGCUGUAGCGAAGGCGAAGAGUGUG